CAGUCGCCGCGGUAAGACGAACCGUGCGAACGUUAUUCGGAAUCACUGGGCUUAAAGCGCGUGUAGGCGGAUGGGAGCGUCGGCCUCUGAAAUCCCCCGGCUCAACCGGGGAAGUGGAGCCGAAACGACCCGUCUGGAGGGACGUAGGGGACCUGGAACUUCCGGUGGAGCGGUGAAAUGCGUUGAGAUCGGAAGGAACGCCCGUGGCGAAAGCGAGGUCCUGGACGUCUGCUGACGCUGAGACGCGAAAGCCAGGGGAGCGAACGGGAUUAGAUACCCCAGUAGUCCCUGUCUCUUAUAA
rnacentral:rRNA from 1 species